UACAGAGGGGGCAAGCGUUGUUCGGAAUUACUGGGCGUAAAGGGCGCGUAGGCGGCCUGCUAAGUCGAACGUGAAAUCCCCGGGCUCAACCCGGGAACUGCGUCCGAUACUGGCAGGCUUGAAUUCGGGAGAGGGAUGUGGAAUUCCAGGUGUAGCGGUGAAAUGCGUAGAUAUCAGGAGGAACACCGGUGGCGAAGGCGGGUCUCUGGGCAAUGAACUGACGCUGGAGGAGCGAAAGCGUGGGGAGCAAACGGG
rnacentral:rRNA from 1 species